GAGCUGUGAAGAUCUAUUCUGCGCUCUUUGUGAUGGAUGGGUCUGUCACAACCGUCCGAUCUUUAAAUUCAGAUGAAAUCACAGCGCAUCUGAGCUC